UUGUACUGUCUUCUAUUUUUUUAAAUUUUGGAUUUUUCAUACGUUUUGAACCGUGCAUUUUGCUAUCGGCAUUAAGCCAAUAGCAGGUAGCUCACCCCCAAGCAUGAGAACAAGCCCAUUCAUUCCAGUAAUUGAUGCCGACAGCCCAUCAGGAGAAUAAUGUAUGGGAAUAAUGAAAGAUUGUUUAUGUAUCACGGCAUGAGAAGGUAGGGAGGCUUGUUUUUUUUUUUGUCUUUGCUUUUUUUUUUCAGGAGGGCGGCGAUGCUGACGGAUGGACAGAAGUGACAGUGCGGUAUUCAUCCUGCACGCUCCGCCGCUGGUGUUUGGACAUGGCAAUAAAUCAAGAGCUCUUCCGCCGCCCUAUCUACAGCUUAUUACUGCCGGCGUGACAAAUAAAUAAUAAUCCCUGUCAGCCAGGCCCUUUUCCACUACACGAUCAAAAGGCCGACUGAACUCAUCACUCCUGCUUGUUGCUUGCAAGCAUCGCCUCAGCAGCAAGCGGAAGUAUAUGCGGCUUUUUCCCUUUAUGGAUAUGAGACAAAAGGGAGGCUGCGGCAGUGGAAGGCGAGAGCGCGGCCUAAUGGCGCUGAUUAAUGACAACGGGCCAGAGGAGAGCCGGGACACGGGCGCAACAUCUAUCAUCCUUUCUCAUCAGUCGGUGCACCUCCGUUCUUCCCCAAGAAGAAAAAGAAAAAUGCACCGGCUGAAAUAAAUACAAUACUAAGCUU